CAAAAAAACUUAUGUAUACCUUUUUAUUUUCUAUUUUUUAUUAGAUAUCAAUUGUUAUAAUUUAGAUGAUUUGAAAACCCAAAUUGUUGCGAAUAUCUACCCAAAUGUCUGUGAUUGAAAUGAUUCAAUGGCCUUUUUAUUUUAAAUUUUGAAAAUUAUCUGAAAAAUAUUAAUAACAGCUUUUUUAAAUAAAAAUAGAUAGUAUAUUGUACUGAAAUGAAUAUAUUUAUUAUGUUGAAAGUACCCUAUAAUUGGCAUUUUUUAUUUUAACAGAUAUUAAAUUGGUUAUAAUUAAAUUAAUUUAAUACCUAAUAAUUUCUGUUUAGAAUACCAUAAAAAUGUUUAAAAUAAGGUACCAAAUAGUUUUUGUAAUUUACUAUGAUUAAAUUAUUCAGCCCCCCGCUUCAAUGAUUUCACCAAAUUUCCGCCUAUGGUCCUCGAGGUGGGUUUACACGUUAAAUUGUGCUUAUGCUAACUGACUUGUACAAAUUAAACUUAUGCAGAUGACGAAUAUUCAAUAAAGUGUUUAUAG